CCUACGGGAGGCAGCAGUGGGGGAUAUUGCACAAUGGGGGAAACCCUGAUGCAGCGACGCCGCGUGUGGGAAGACGGUCCUCUGGAUUGUAAACCACUGUCUCCAGGGACGAAGAUGACGGUACCUGGGGAGGAAGCCCCGGCUAACCACGGGCCAGCAGCCGCGGUAAUACGUAGGGAGCGAGCGUUGUCCGGAAUUACUGGGGGGAAAGGGAGCGUAGGCGGGGAUGCAAGUUGGGUGUCAAAACUACGGGUUAAACUGGUAGUCGCACUCAAAACUGCAGCUCUUGAGUGAAGUAGAGGCAGGCGGAAUUCCUAGUGUAGCGGUGAAAUGCGUAGAUAUUAGGAGGAACACCAGUGGCGAAGGCGGCCUGCUGGGCUUUUACUGACGCUGAGGCUCGAAAGUGUGGGGAGCAAACAGGAUUAGAUACCCUAGUAGUC
rnacentral:rRNA from 1 species